CUAGUACUCCCUCCGUACGGAAAUACUUAUCCUAGAAAUAGAUGUAUCUAGACUUAUUAUAAUUAUAGAUACAUCUAUUUUAUACAUUUUUAGGACAAGUAUUUUUGGACGGAGGUAGUACUAA
rfam:Hordeum vulgare subsp. vulgare, WGS project CAJW01000000 data, contig: morex_contig_38689